GACGAAGGAUCCAAGCGUUAUCCGGAUUCAUUGGGUUUAAAGGGCGCGUAGGCGGUCGUGACAAGUCACUUGUGAAAUCUCCGGGCUUAACUCGGAACGGUCAAGUGAUACUGUCGGACUAGAGUACAGAAGGGGCAACUGGAAUUCUCGGUGUAGCGGUGAAAUGCGUAGAUAUCGAGAGGAACACCUGCGGCGAAGGCGGGUUGCUGGGCUGAUACUGACGCUGAGGCGCGAAAGCCAGGGGAGCGAACGGG
rnacentral:rRNA from 1 species